rnacentral:rRNA from 1 species
ACUCCUACGGGAGGCAGCAGUGAGGAAUAUUGCACAAUGGGGAAACCCGCUGAUGCAGCCAUGCCGCGUGUGUGAAGAAGGCCUUCGGGUUGUAAAGCACUUUCAGUAGGGAGGAAGGUAGUGUAGUUAACACCUGCACUAUUUGACGUUACCUACAGAAGAAGCACCGGCUAACUCCGUGCCAGCAGCCGCGGUAAUACGGAGGGUGCAAGCGUUAAUCGGAAUUACUGGGCGUAAAGCGUGCGCAGGCGGUCUGUUAAGCGAGAUGUGAAAGCCCCGGCUCAAGCCU